UAUUCUAAAUGAUUCUUAGUGUAAAAGUAAGACGUUUUGAGUGGACCUUGUGAUAGAUAAAAUGCCGUUGUAUAAUGUGCUUUCCCUUCAACAACAUUUAGCCUAAACCGUUGUCAGGUGUCUACAGCAAACAAGUUUCAGCAACAAGCUGAACGAACCUGCAGGCUAACGGCAUUGUUCCCUCCCAGAUUUUUUUUUAAAGUUCUCCCCAGCUCUGUUUGUGCAUUCCUCACAGUUGAUGGCAAGCAGUGCAGAUCAAGAUGAGGAUUAGCUGUCUGCUUUAUUUGGUUUCAUUUACAGAAGUUGAAAGGCAACCCCAAAUGGACAAAGUUUUCAAACAUUGAUCUCAGAUUUUCCUUUUCCAGGAUCUUUUGGUGCGAACUAAAAGAGAAUGGGUUGUGCCUACAUUUGAACUUCAAGAGGAACUGAAAGUGUCUUACCCUCACUUCUUUUCAAGGGUAAAACAAAGAGUCAUGUAAAACGAUGACCUUGAUAAAAUAAAUAUCAAGUUACUAAUUAGUUAUGUAAAAACCUUUACCAGACUUUGCAUAUGUUUCUCUUAGAUGUACAAUGACAAGAUAAAAGGGAAAGAAUUCAGAUUUGAAAUAAGCGGAGUAGCUGUGGAUGAGGGAUAUUUGACCAGUAAUGAAACAUCUGGGAGAAGUUUAUAUCAACAAACCUAUUGACAAAGAGCAACUAAAAGACUCCUUUUUUUCAUGUGAGUAAAUAUGAUAUUAGAGAUUUAUUUGGAUAUGAAAUCAUUCAAUGUA